UACGUAGGGUGCAAGCGUUGUCCGGAAUUAUUGGGCGUAAAGAGCUCGUAGGUGGCCUGUCGCGUCGGCUGUGAAAACUCGGGGCUCAACUCCGAGCUUGCAGUCGAUACGGGCAGGCUAGAGUUCGGCAGGGGAGACUGGAAUUCCUGGUGUAGCGGUGAAAUGCGCAGAUAUCAGGAGGAACACCGGUGGCGAAGGCGGCUCUCUGGGACGGUACUGACGCUGAGACGCGAAAGCGUGGGGAGCGAACAGG
rnacentral:rRNA from 1 species